AUACGGGACUCAUCCGAGGCCCCGUAAUCGGAAUGACUACACUUUAAAUCCUUUAAGGAGUAUCAAUUGGAGGGCAAGUCUGGUGCCAGCAGCCGCGGUAAUUCCAGCUCCAAUAGCGUAUAUAAAAGUUGUUGCGGUUAAAAAGCUCGUAGUUGGAUCUGUGUCCCGCACCGUCGGUUCACCGCCCGACGGUGUCAAACUGACGCGAUGCGGGACGUCCUGCCGGUGGCGUGUCUAGCUGGCGGCUUUCGGUCGUUGGGCGGCGCCGAUUCAAUCCUGUCGCGGUGCUCUUCAUUGAGUGUCGAGGUGGGCCGGCACUUUUACUUUGAACAAAUUAGAGUGCUUCAAGCAGGCUGGAUAUUGCCUGAAUGCUAGUGCAUGGAAUAAUGGAAUAGGACCUCGGUUCUAUUUUGUUGGUUUUCAGAACCAGAGGUAAUGAUUAAUGGAGACAGGCGGGGGCAUUCGUAUUGCGACGUUAGAGGUGAAAUUCUUGGAUCGUCGCAAGACGGACCGAAGCGAAAGCAUUUGCCAAGGAUGUUCUCGUUGAUCAAGAACGAAAGUUAGAGGUUCGAAGGCGAUCAGAUACCGCCCUAGUUCUAACCAUAAACGAUGUUGACUAGCCAUCCGAUAAAGGUUCUUUUUAUGCCUUAUCGGGCAGCUUCCGGGAAACCAAAGUUUUUGAAUUCCGGGGGAAGUAUGGUUGCAAAGCUGAAACUUAAAGGAAUUGACGGAAGGGCACCACCAGGAGUGGAGCCUGCGGCUUAAUUUGACUCAACACGGGAAACCUCACCAGGCCCGGACACUGGAAGGAUUGACAGAUUGAGAGCUCUUUCUUGAUUCAGUGGGUGGUGGUGCAUGGCCGUUCUUAGUUGGUGGAGCGAUUUGUCUGCUUAAUUGCGAUAACGAACGAGACUCUAGCCUGCUAACUAGUCGUUUCCGGCUUCCUUUGUUGCAGCCGGCGAAGACAAAUCUUCUUAGAGGGACAGGCGGCUUCUAGCCGCACGAGAUUGAGCAAUAACAGGUCUGUGAUGCCCUUAGAUGUUCUGGCCGCACGCGCGCUACAAUGAAGGUAUCAGCGUGUCCUCCCUGGCCGAAAGGUCCGGGUAACCCGCUGAAACACCUUCGUGCUUGGGAUUGGGGCUUGAAAUUGUUCCCCAUGAACGAGGAAUUCCCAGUAAAGGCGUGUCAUUAGCACGCCUUGAUUACGUCCCUGCCCUUUGUACACACGCCCGUCGACUACCGAUUGAAUGAUUUAGUGAGGUCUUCGGACUGGCGCGCGGUGUUCCUUCGGGAUCGCCGCUGCCGCCGGAAAGAUGACCAAACUUGAUCAUUUAGAGGAAGUAAAAGUCGUAACAAGGUUUCCGUAGGUGAACCUGCGGAAG
rnacentral:rRNA from 1 species